GGACACUUUACUAUCAGAAUUACAGAUAAUAACAACAAUUCCUCCUCACCUUUGCCGUAUUUCCUGCUCCUUAUCAUUUCUUGUUUUGGUUGGACUUUAUUUUCUCAUUUGAGCGAAUUUGGCCACUUUAAUGCAAGGUCGGUGCUCCGAUAUUGCAAAAUUAUACGGCUACUCCUUCCCUGGAUUACACAUUUCACAACACGAUUCAGGCACUAGUGCACCUCCUUAGUUUGCAGAUUGAAAUGGAUCUUUGCUCUACAAUUAUUAUUAUCGCUCGCAUCCAUUUCCAAAAGAAAAAUAUGCUGAUAUGUGAAUACGCUAUCUACUGCGUUUGUACAAGAUAAUGGACCAACAUUUUUAAUUUCAUAAUUUAAUAUGUCACCUGACGGCGUAUGUGACGUAAAUCCAUAUAUUAUAAAGGUUGCCGUGUUAUCAAUAAUAUUACACAUUAUAAACCAUAUUAUAAUAUUAGUAUAGGUAACUUAAAUAGCAAAUACCUAAGUUUGGAAAAAAUAAUAAUGUAUAUAUAGGAAUAUAUAUUUAAAUAUACUCAAAUCAUACAGGGGUUAAAAAAAACCAAAAACUGUACCACUUGAUUUAAGGUAAAAAAAUCAAAAGAAACUAUUAAUAUACCUACCUCCAAAUGGGUGGUCCUCAAUUCAUGUUGGAUUAAUUUACAAAAUAUUAUGAUAGCAAGGAAAGUUCAAAACAAUUAAAAACAUUGCAAUCGCGAAUGACUAAUUCAGUGACUAACUAGUGUUUACCUAACCCAUUGCUAAUAUUAUACAAAUAAAUUACGUAUAGUAGUAUAAAUAAAUAUAUAAUGCCCUUAGGAAUAAAGUCUAACACAACACUUAGAAUUAUAUUUUUUCAUCUAGGUAGGCAUAUUUUAAUAUUGAAUUCAAAUUUAAAUCAAUUUAAUGGCAUGGUACUACUGGUACUCACUCUAAAUUCUAAUACUUACUAUAUUAUACACUUACUCCUGAUAAACGAUAAG